AGACCAGUCCCAGAGAUGGGAAGAAGCGCACAUGACCACGGCUCCUCAUCCUUCCCUGUUCAAAAUCCUGAGGAGCCUUCAACAUAGAGGGAAAAACAAGGGUGUGAAAGUGGGAGCUAUGUUUUGAGCAGCCGUGGAGCAGAGCCAGCGGGAUGGAGCAUGCCAUGAGGGAGAAGAUGCUGGAAGCCAUGGGUGGGGGGUGCUGGGUAUGGGAUCAAGAAGACGCGUGACUGGCUACUCCUAACUCUUGUGGCCCACAAUAAAGCAGCCUUGGU
rnacentral:lncRNA from 1 species